UGAAGUGUUUGACGCGGAUGAAGGCGGCAAUGGAAAUAAUGAAUAGAGUAUAGUAGAAAAUCAAAAAAGAAAGAAAAGCUGGAGUAACGCAUCUGAAACUGACAGUGAAAAUGGAACACAUCAGACAAGAAGAAGGAAGAAAGAGUAUGAGGUAUUUACAGAUGGGUCUAAGGAGCCAGAGUCUGGGAGAACAGCAGCAGCCGUUUAUAUUCCUACUUUUAAAAUAAAAAUGGCUAAAAGAUGA